GGGUUUUAGACCCAAGGGCUUGGACCUGAACCCCGGGUUUAAACCUGAACCCAGGGUUUAGACCCAAGGGCUUGGACCUGAACCCCGGGUUCAGACCUGAACCAAGGGUUUAGACCCAAGGGCUUGGACCUGAACCCCGGGUUCAGGUCUGAACCCAGGGUUUAGACCCAAGGGCUUGGACCUGAACCUCGGGUUUAAACCUGAACCCAGGGUUUAGACCCAAGGGCUUAGACCUGAACCAAGGGUUUCAGACCCAAGGGCUUUGACCUGAACCCCGGGUUUAAACCUGAACCCAGGGUUUAGAUCUGAACCCCAAGGCUUAGACCCCAGGGCUUAGACCCCAGGGUUUAGACCUGAAUCCAGGGUUUAGAUCCCAGGGCUUAGACCUGAACCCCAGGUUAAGACCUGAACCCAGGGUAUAGACCUGAACCCAGGGUUUAGACCCCAGGGUUAAGACCUGAACCCCAGGGUUAGGACCCCAGGGUUUAGACCUGAACCCCAGGGUUUAGACCUGAAGAUCAAGAUCUAGAAACACAAAUGUUGAACGUGUUGAAAACCGAUUCAGCCAUUAUUCAAAGAAGAAAAAAAACUCAACAAAUCUGUGCCUAAAUGAUUUAUAUUUGUUUAUAGAAUACACGGUGGUUGUAUAUUUAAGGUAUUCUGUAAAUAUAAUAUAUAAAUAUUAUAAAUAUAUUUAUCUGGAUAAUUUGGUUAUCAGGACAGUGUUUCCAUGGCUCAGACGUGCUGGGGAUGUUAAUGCCGGUUUUCUUUUGUAUCGUGUACUAAUAUGCUGUCAUGUAUCGAGUCCUCGAACUGUAUAUACUUUUUCCAUCAAAUGGCUUAAAAUGCAAUGCCGCGCCCACCCCUAACCCUAACCCCGCCCUGAGAUUAAAGAGCAGAUGCGCUCUGAGCUGACGGUGCUGCUGGAGUCGUUGUGUCUCUGUUCUCCAUCAGGUGCCCACCUUCAGCCAACCAAUCACAGAGCAGGGUUACGCUACGGUCUGCGUCCCAUUGGGUCGCUGAAUGUAAACUUGUGUUCUUAUAAAGACUCUUCUCAUCCAUAGAACCAGAGUGGCAGUGUUUUAGGGCGGCCGAUUCAUUCAUGUAAUCACAAUUGUCCAAUAAAAAAUUGCUAAUGGAACUCGUAUUUUUUAAAUUCGCCAGUUCUGGUGGGACAGAGUUAAUGUUCUGAAGACGAUAAGAGUCGAUACGGUACAUAAAAUAUAAUUAAAAAUUUGUUUAAAACAUGUCAGGACAAUCCACAGCACUGCAUAACAGCAAGCCGUCGGGAAACACAAAGCAACAGGAAACCAGAGGAAGGAUAAAUAAUCCCUGGAUCGCACCGGAGUCAUGUCAAAGGCUCAGAUCCCGUUCCGCUCCCAGAGUAUCAAAGCGUUUAUAAAAAAGGGCUCCAGGUUUUUCAGAGAUGAUGAGGUCAUCGGCCCGUUAGCCUUCAUUUAACGAUGAGGAGGUCUCCCGAGACAUGGAGGAUAAAGUCACAGCGGUCCAUGUCAGCGAGUCGCUCCACCGAUAGCUUCAGGAGGAGUCUUCUUUGGUGUGUUUUGAAGUUCUCUUUAGUGUGUAGUGUGAACUCUGUCCCUUUAUGGAAAGCGUU
ensembl:lncRNA